rnacentral:rRNA from 1 species
UUAGAUAACCCCUGGUUAGUCCCACGCCCGUAAACCGAUUGAGUCCUAAGUGUUAGGGGGGUUUCCCGCCCCCUUAGUGCCUCCAGCUAACCGCAUUAAGCACUUCCGCUUGGGGAGUACGCCCCGCAAGGCUGAAAACUCCAAAGGAAUUUGACCGGGGGCCCGCACAAGCGUGGAACAUGUGGUUUAAUUCGAAAGCAACGCGAAGAACCUUACCAGGUCUUGACAUCCCGCUGACCGCCUAGGAGACUAGGCUUUCCCUUCGGGGACAGCGGUGACAGGUGGUGCAUGGUUGUCGUCAGCUCGUGUCGUGAGAUGUUGGGUUAAGUCCCGCAACGAGCGCAACCCUUGAUCUUAGUUGCCAGCAUUCAGUUGGGCACUCUAAGGUGACUGCCGGUGACAAACCGGAGGAAGGUGGGGAUGACGUCAAAUCAUCAUGCCCCUUAUGACCUGGGCUACACACGUGCUACAAUGGACGGUACAAAGGGCUGCAAACCCGCGAGGGGGAGCCAAUCCCAUCAAACCGUUCUCAGUUCGGAUUGCAGGCUGCAACUCGCCUGCAUGAAGCCGGAAUCGCUAGUAAUCGCGGAUCAGCAUGCCGCGGUGAAUACGUUCCCGGGCCUUGUACACACCGCCCGUCACACCACGAGAGUUUGUAACACCCGAAGUCGGUGGGGUAA